CCUACGGGAGGCAGCAGUGAGGAAUAUUGGUCAAUGGGCGCGAGCCUGAACCAGCCAAGUCGCGUGAGGGAAGACGGUCCUAUGGAUUGUAAACCUCUUUUGUCGGGGAGCAAAAGACGCCACGCGUGGCGUUCCGAGAGUACCCGAAGAAAAAGCAUCGGCUAACUCCGUGCCAGCAGCCGCGGUAAUACGGAGGAUGCGAGCGUUAUCCGGAGUUAUUGGGUUUAAAGGGUGCGCAGGCGGAAGAUCAAGUCAGCGGUAAAAUUGAGAGGCUCAACCUCUUCGAGCCGUUGAAACUGGUGUUCUUGAGUGAGUGAGAAGUAUGCGGAAUGCGUGGUGUAGCGGUGAAAUGCAUAGAUAUCACGCAGAACUCCGAUUGCGAAGGCAGCAUACCGGCGCUCAACUGACGCUCAUGCACGAAAGUGUGGGUAUCGAACAGGAUUAGAUACCCUAGUAGUC
rnacentral:rRNA from 1 species